AGUAAGGAAUAUUGGUCAAUGGACGAAAGUCUGAACCAGCCAUGCCGCGUGGAGGAUGAAGGUCCUCUGGAUUGUAAACUUCUUUUAUAUGGGACGAAAAUGGGGCUUUCUAGCUCAACUGACGGUACCAUGUGAAUAAGCACCGGCUAACUCCGUGCCAGCAGCCGCGGUAAUACGGAGGGUGCAAGCGUUAUCCGGAUUCACUGGGUUUAAAGGGUGCGUAGGUGGACUGGUAAGUCAGAGGUGAAAUCUCCGGGCUCAACUCGGAAACUGCCAUUGAUACUAUCAGUCUUGAAUAUUGUGGAGGUUAGCGGAAUAUGUCAUGUAGCGGUGAAAUGCUUAGAUAUGACAUAGAACACCAAUUGCGAAGGCAGCUGGCUACACAUAUAUUGACACUGAGGCACGAAAGCGUGGGGAUCAAA
rnacentral:rRNA from 1 species